GCCAUCUGUUACCUACAAAGUAUAGAAGUUGGAGUCAGGAAAUUCAGCACAAAUUCUCCAAGUGGGGAAACCUCCUCUACUUUCUUGGAACCUACUAAAUGGGGUUCUCUCUUCUCUUCCUCUUUUGUCUCUCAAUCAAGUAACUAUAAAUAACUCCCUAAAUGGUUUUAUUCACUAUUGAAUAAUGGUGGUGAUCUUAGAAAGGCAAACUGUUUUUAGUCUGGAUUUUUAAAGCAAAUAGGGCCCAAGGCAAAAAACUUACUUUAUGGAAUAUGCAAUUAUAGGGAAGAAGGACUGAGGGAAGGGGAUCAAUAGAGAAGGCAUGGAAAGUAAAUGUAAGGGGUACACUCCCAGUUGGGCUAGUUUUAUAUCAAGCUAGUGGGUUAUCUUUGGAGAGUUACUAUUAUAUCAAGUUACUGGGAUAUCUUUAGAGAGCUACUGUGUUUCUGAAUGAUUUAUCUAGGGAUAGAAAGGGAGAAUUCACCUUCUUGUGUCUGCCGUUAGAAAAAUUCAUCCCCUGACCAUCAACUGUGACACUCUUUUAGGUUGUACCAUGUGACCCUCUAGCAGCUAUGAGGAGGCUAGAUCACAAAACAGCUAUGACAGCAUCUACAGUGGCAGCCACACUGCAUGGAGCAAGCUAAUGGGUGGAAGCAAGUCAGUGACACUUGCCAUUGUCCAUGAAUAAUUUGCAACCUCACAAACCAGCUGGAUAAAUCAGUGCACCUCCACAGUGUCUCAGAGGCUAGACUCGAACUCCUGGGCUCAAGAAUCCUAUCACCUCAGCCUUCCAAGAAGCUGGGACUACAGGCAUACAUCUCUACACCUGACUGGGGGCUACAUAAUAAUUUUCAGAUGAAGAAAUGGAGGCACAGAAAGAGUAAGUGAUUUAACCGAAGUCAAAAGUUUGCAGCAGAACAAAGAUUUGAGUCCAACCAGUCAGUACACAGGAACUGCACUUUAAACUGCUGCCCCAAUCUCACAGAGAUUUUGUUAAGCAGGUGGUAAUUGGAUUGAGCUUUUACAAAGUGUCACGUUUAAGUGAGAGAAAAGAAUAUAGAGAACACUCCAAUGGGAAGGAGGCUGUGAUAAUAGAAGAGAAAUUACAAAGUUAGAAUGAGAAUUACAUGUUUUAAAAAAUGACAAAGCUUAGAAAUUUCCUAUGGUGACCUAUUAUGAGAAAUGAAGUUGGGAUAGAUUUAAUUCUUAGAAAAUUUUGAAGUUCAUUGAGUACAUUAUUGAUGAGGUAGAAAACAGAGAACCAUUACAAGAUUUUUUUGAAUAGUCAUGUGAGGAAAACACUUUUUAUGGGCAAUUAAUCUUUAGUGAGCAUGAAGGUGUGUUGGAAGAAGAAAGGAACAAGUGGUGAAAUUUAGCUAGAAACCUAUUGGGAAAAUAGAAACCCCCAGAACUAUGAGGAGACCCUCCAAAGAAUGCUGUGUAUAUCAGUUCCUGCGGUUUCACUUACUGCUUAAAAGUGAUAAAUUGUUUUAGGUGCUAUUCCACACACUUACUAGCAAGGACACCAUUUUCACACUUUACCUUUGAGUGAUAAUAGAUAUGAGUACCUUUGAAUA